GAUGAACGCUGGCGGCGUGCCUAAUACAUGCAAGUCGAACGCACAGCGAAAGGUGCUUGCACCUUUCAAGUGAGUGGCGAACGGGUGAGUAACACGUGGACAACCUGCCUCAAGGCUGGGGAUAACAUUUGGAAACAGAUGCUAAUACCGAAUAAAACUCAGUGUCGCAUGACACAAAGUUAAAAGGCGCUUUGGCGUCACCUAGAGAUGGAUCCGCGGUGAAUUAGUUAGUUGGUGGGGUAAAGGCCUACCAAGACAAUGAUGCAUAGCCGAGUUGAGAGACUGAUCGGCCACAUUGGGACUGAGACACGGCCCAAACUCCUACGGGAGGCUGCAGUAGGGAAUCUUCCACAAUGGGCGAAAGCCUGAUGGAGCAACGCCGCGUGUGUGAUGAAGGCUUUCGGGUCGUAAAGCACUGUUGUAUGGGAAGAACAGCUAGAAUAGGGAAUGAUUUUAGUUUGACGGUACCAUACCAGAAAGGGACGGCUAAAUACGUGCCAGCCGCCGCCGUAA
rnacentral:rRNA from 1 species